UCUGGUAUAAAAUAAAGAUUUUUUCACCGAGGCUAUUUAUCAUAUAGCUAUUUUAGACUGCUGUUUGCAGUUUCCUAAACUUUCUAUCAUCGCACUAACAAGAUUGCAAAGCAGUUAGUUUGACAGAAAACCGCGCUCCAUUCGCAUUUUGGACAAUCUAGGUCCGUCUGCAUUCCGAUUUCGUGCUCUAUAGGUUCAUUUUGUUUCUGUAUCAUUCAGGUUUUUUAAAUGGAAAUCGAUACGAGCCUUUCAAAGAACAGAGUUUAGCAAGUGGGAACAGGUUUAUAAUGGAAAUCGAUACGAGCCUUUCAAAGAACAGAGUUUAGCAAGUGGGAACAGGUUUUUAAUGGAAAUCGAUACGAGCCUUUCAAAGAACAGAGU